rnacentral:lncRNA from 1 species
CUUGAUAUAGUGAUGAAUGUGAGGUUUUGGUUUCGGGCAAGUACGCACACUCCGCCACCCAUGCCCCGUAAAGAAAAAACUUUUAUUCAUAUCCUUCCUGUACCCAAAUUGGGUUUAGAUCUAAUUACCUGUCCCUACUCCAUGGGUAAUGUCUUAUACCCGACUGGCAGAACCUCGAAGCCCCACUGUAACAACUAGUUCCCCAUAAGUGUGCAUUAUUAUAGGAAACACAUCAUCCUUAAAAAUUUACAAAAAAGCAAGAUGCAAAAAUCCCUUUAAAUAAGUAUUAAAUUAGCCAAUGUAUGAUGAGCUGAAACUAUUUAAAAUAAUCUCAUGUCAACAAAAGUCCAAACAAUUCAAUUCAAAGUAAUCCCAAAAGUUCCAAUCUCCACAAAGUCCAAGUAAAUAUUAUAAGACAAUAUUGAGCAGAUACCAAUUAGUUCAUUAAAAAUUGUAUGGAGAAAUUUUAAAUGAAAAAGAAAGUAAAAUAAGAACCUGAGUUCCCAAAAGAAUUUGUGGCAAUCAUGCAAUAAGACCGCUGAAGUGAAACCUGCUAAGAGGAUCCUACUGAAGGAAUUGUCUAUGUCCAUCCUAUAAGUCGCACGAUUCCUGCAAAACUAAGUAUGCAGAUCCCUAAUGAGCUAUGAUGCCUGAUGAAUAUCAUACAUUCUAUUUAAAGGCUCAAUCACUUUGGUAGGAUAUUCAAUUACAUAUUUUUUCAGAUAUGUAUAAGUAUAUUUCUGUCUAACAAUCACGUAUUUUCCUUCAUCGUCUAACGUAUUUAUUGACAAUCAAUCAUAUAAGUAAAUUAAUAUGAGUUCAUAUAGUGACAAUAACAGUCACGUAUUUUUCAUUCUAAACAACCAUAUACAUAGAGCCGUAAUAUUCAAUAAAAAAAACAUCAAAC